UAGAGCAAGGCCUGCAGGCUCACUUGUCAGAGAUAGUAGAGAAGACAAGAUGUUCUCUUGCCUAAAGGCUAACGCCUAAAGAAAGACAACAGGGAAGACCACGAUGGUGUCUGGAGGCGCAGGGUUCACUCUUGCCUUCAAUGCCUGUGGCCAUUUUCCCAAAGGGGAAAAAUUUUGAGCAAGGCCAGCCAAGGACAGGACCACACAAACCAGGUUGAGAAUGCUUCUCUCAAAAGAACCAUGGAGCCCAGGAGAGAGUCAUGCAUCAGGGCACAGACAGUGAUUUAGCAGAUGAACACACUGGUGCCUUCUCUGAAUGACCCCUUGGUUGUCCUUGCUUUUCUGUCUGUAUAGAGAAGUUCUGUGUCACCUCUACAGGUAUGCAUACUUCAGUCCAUAUUCUAAAGAGGAUGAACAAGUAAAGAACAUCCUGUGUAGCUUUCUGGAAACAUGGAUGGACAAGAACCCUGAGGACUUUUGUGACCCAUCAGACCUGUUACCUUUGUAAUACCUGAAGUCCUACUUGAGUGUGUACACGCCCAACUCUUAUCUUAUUGUCCCUGUCAAGAGGCUCCUGACCCAGUUGCAGCAAGAACAUGCCAAGGAUUCACAGGGCAAGAAUGACAAAAAUUCAUAUCUGGGUAGACACACAUCCUCAGAACCACAGAUAGAAUGGGUAUAAAUCAUCAAAGAAAAGAAUCACUCUGGAGCCAGAACCAAAUUGUGCCCCUGAGCUGGAGGGCACAUAAACCUCCAGAAGGUUCUGGGGUUUAUGAGUAGUUGCAGCCAUAUGUGCAGCAGCAGUUCAGCCAGCACAGCUGAUAGCAGCUGUGGAAACUGUCUCGGUAUGUCUGUAGAUACAAUGUAUCUGUCUGUCAUCUCCUGCUUGCUACAGUGGACCUUCCUAUUUAGAGAAUGUCCCUGUCAGCUCUUCUGUCCUAUAUCUGAGCUGCUGCUCCUGUCCCUUAUGAUAAGGGGCUGAUUUCAAUUCAGCAGCAGUUCCAACCCCACAGCCAGCCAUUUUAGUCAUUCUGAUGUUUUCAAUGUUGUGUUUAUUUUAAGUAUUGGUUUUAAUAAAUUGUUAGUAUUCUGUUUACAUUGAGUAAAAUGUUUAAUACUGAGAGAAAAUGUGUACAAUUUAUGAAUAUUC
rnacentral:sRNA from 1 species